GAGUCUAUGAUGAGAACUUUAUAUUGUCUGAAGAGAGGUGAUGGCUUAAAAACCAUGCUCAAUAGGAUUAUGCUGAGAUUC
rnacentral:snoRNA from 1 species